rnacentral:rRNA from 1 species
CGACCGCUGGCGGCGUGCCUAAUACAUGCAAGUUGAGCGCUGAAGGUUGGUACUUGUACCACCUGGAUGAGCAGCGAACGGGUGAGUAACGCGUGGGGAAUCUGCCUUUGAGCGGGGGACAACAUUUGGAAACGAAUGCUAAUACCGCAUAAAAACUUUAAACACAAGUUUUAAGUUUGAAAGAUGCAAUUGCAUCACUCAAAGAUGAUCCCGCGUUGUAUUAGCUAGUUGGUGAGGUAAAGGCUCACCAAGGCGAUGAUACAUAGCCGACCUGAGAGGGUGAUCGGCCACAUUGGGACUGAGACACGGCCCAAACUCCUACGGGAGGCAGCAGUAGGGAAUCUUCGGCAAUGGACGAAAGUCUGACCGAGCAACGCCGCGUGAGUGAAGAAGGGUUUCGGAUCGUAAAACUCUGUUGGUAGAGAAGAACGUUGGUGAGAGUGGAAAGCUCAUCAAGUGACGGUAACUACCCAGAAAGGGACGGCUAACUACGUG